CCUGGCUCCCGUUUAGGCUAGCUACAGGCUUAACACAUGCAAGUCGAGGCCUUCAUGGUCUUAGCUUGCUAAGACUGAUGGCGACCGGCGCACGGGUGAGUAACACGUAUCCAACCUGCCGUCUACUCUUGGACAGCCUUCUGAAAGGAAGAUUAAUACAAGAUGGCAUCAUGAGUCCGCAUGUUCACAUGAUUAAAGGUAUUCCGGUAGACGAUGGGGAUGCGUUCCAUUAGAUAGUAGGCGGGGUAACGGCCCACCUAGUCUUCGAUGGAUAGGGGUUCUGAGAGGAAGGUCCCCCACAUUGGAACUGAGACACGGUCCAAACUCCUACGGGAGGCAGCAGUGAGGAAUAUUGGUCAAUGGGCGAGAGCCUGAACCAGCCAAGUAGCGUGAAGGAUGACUGCCCUAUGGGUUGUAAACUUCUUUUAUAAAGGAAUAAAGUCGGGUAUGCAUACCCGUUUGCAUGUACUUUAUGAAUAAGGAUCGGCUAACUCCGUGCCAGCAGCCGCGGUAAUACGGAGGAUCCGAGCGUUAUCCGGAUUUAUUGGGUUUAAAGGGAGCGUAGAUGGAUGUUUAAGUCAGUUGUGAAAGUUUGCGGCUCAACCGUAAAAUUGCAGUUGAUACUGGAUAUCUUGAGUGCAGUUGAGGCAGGCGGAAUUCGUGGUGUAGCGGUGAAAUGCUUAGAUAUCACGAAGAACUCCGAUUGCGAAGGCAGCCUGCUAAGCUGCAACUGACAUUGAGGCUCGAAAGUGUGGGUAUCAAACAGGAUUAGAUACCCUGGUAGUCCACACGGUAAACGAUGAAUACUCGCUGUUUGCGAUAUACUGCAAGCGGCCAAGCGAAAGCGUUAAGUAUUCCACCUGGGGAGUACGCCGGCAACGGUGAAACUCAAAGGAAUUGACGGGGGCCCGCACAAGCGGAGGAACAUGUGGUUUAAUUCGAUGAUACGCGAGGAACCUUACCCGGGCUUAAAUUGCAGAUGAAUUACGGUGAAAGCCGUAAGCCGCAAGGCAUCUGUGAAGGUGCUGCAUGGUUGUCGUCAGCUCGUGCCGUGAGGUGUCGGCUUAAGUGCCAUAACGAGCGCAACCCUUGUUGUCAGUUACUAACAGGUUCCGCUGAGGACUCUGACAAGACUGCCAUCGUAAGAUGUGAGGAAGGUGGGGAUGACGUCAAAUCAGCACGGCCCUUACGUCCGGGGCUACACACGUGUUACAAUGGGGGGUACAGAGGGCCGCUACCACGCGAGUGGAUGCCAAUCCCCAAAACCUCUCUCAGUUCGGACUGGAGUCUGCAACCCGACUCCACGAAGCUGGAUUCGCUAGUAAUCGCGCAUCAGCCACGGCGCGGUGAAUACGUUCCCGGGCCUUGUACACACCGCCCG
rnacentral:rRNA from 1 species